ACCAAGGAGUCUAACAUAUGUGCAAGUUACUGGGAUGUAAACCUAAUAGCGUAAUUAACUUGACUAAUAAUGGGAUUAGUUUUUUAGCUAUUUAUAGCUAAUUAACACAAUCCCGGGGCGUUCUAUAUAGUUAUGUAUAAUGUAUAUUUAUAUUAUUUAUGCCUCUAACUGGAACGUACCUUGAGCAUAUAUGCUGUGACCCGAAAGAUGGUGAACUAUACUUGAUCAGGUUGAAGUCAGGGGAAACCCUGAUGGAAGACCGAAACAGUUCUGACGUGCAAAUCGAUUGUCAGAAUUGAGUAUAGGGGCGAAAGACCAAUCGAACCAUCUAGUAGCUGGUUCCUUCCGAAGUUUCCCUCAGGAUAGCUGGUGCAUUUUAAUAUUAUAUAAAAUAAUCUUAUCUGGUAAAGCGAAUGAUUAGAGGCCUUAGGGUCGAAACGAUCUUAACCUAUUCUCAAACUUUAAAUGGGUAAGAACCUUAACUUUCUUGAUAUGAAGUUCAAGGUUAUGAUAUAAUGUGCCCAGUGGGCCACUUUUGGUAAGCAGAACUGGCGCUGUGGGAUGAACCAAACGUAAUGUUACGGUGCCCAAAUUAACAACUCAUGCAGAUACCAUGAAAGGCGUUGGUUGCUUAAAACAGCAGGACGGUGAUCAUGGAAGUCGAAAUCCGCUAAGGAGUGUGUAACAACUCACCUGCCGAAGCAACUAGCCCUUAAAAUGGAUGGCGCUUAAGUUGUAUACCUAUACAUUACCGCUAAAGUAGAUGAUUUAUAUUACUUGUGAUAUAAAUUUUGAAACUUUAGUGAGUAGGAAGGUACAAUGGUAUGCGUAGAAGUGUUUGGCGUAAGCUUGCAUGGAGCUGCCAUUGCUACAGAUCUUGGUGGUAGUAGCAAAUAAUCGAAUGA
rnacentral:ncRNA from 1 species